UACGAAGGGGGCUAGCGUUGCUCGGAAUCACUGGGCGUAAAGCGCACGUAGGCGGAUUGUUAAGUCAGGGGUGAAAUCCUGGAGCUCAACUCCAGAACUGCCUUUGAUACUGAAGAUCUUGAGUUCGGGAGAGGUGAGUGGAACUGCGAGUGUAGAGGUGAAAUUCGUAGAUAUUCGGAAGAACACCAGUGGCGAAGGCGGCUCACUGGUCCGGUACUGACGCUGAUGUGCGAAAGCGUGGGAGC
rnacentral:rRNA from 1 species